GAUGAACGCUGGCGGCGUGCCUAAUACAUGCAAGUCGAGCGAACAGACGAGGAGCUUGCUCCUCUGACGUUAGCGGCGGACGGGUUAGUAACACGUGGAUAACCUACCUAUAAGACUGGGAUAACUUCGGGAAACCGGAGCUAAUACCGGAUAAUAUAUUGAACCGCAUGGUUCAAUAGUGAAAGACGGUUUUGCUGUCACUUAUAGAUGGAUCCGCGUCGCAUUAGCUAGUUGGUAAGGUAACGGCUUACCAAGGCAACGAUGCGUAGCCGACCUGAGAGGGUGAUCGGCCACACUGGAACUGAGACACGGUCCAGACUCCUACGGGAGGCAGCAGUAGGGAAUCUUCCGCAAUGGGCGAAAGCCUGACGGAGCAACGCCGCGUGAGUGAUGAAGGUCUUCGGAUCGUAAACCUCUGUUGUUAGGGAAGAAAAGAUGUGUAAGUAACUAUGCACGUCUUGACGGUACCUAAUCAGAAAGCAACGGCUAACUACGUG
rnacentral:rRNA from 1 species